AUUGAACGCUGGCGGCAGGCUUAACACAUGCAAGUCGAGCGGAGAUGAGGUGCUUGCACCUUAUCUUAGCGGCGGACGGGUGAGUAAUGCUUAGGAAUCUGCCUAUUAGUGGGGGACAACAUUCCGAAAGGAAUGCUAAUACCGCAUACGUCCUACGGGAGAAAGCAGGGGAUCUUCGGACCUUGCGCUAAUAGAUGAGCCUAGGUCGGAUUAGCUAGUUGGUGGGGUAAAGGCCUACCAAGGCGACGAGCUGUAUCGGGUCUGAGAGGAUGAUCCGCCACACUGGGACGGAGACACGACCCAGACUCCUACGGGAGGCAGCAGUGGGGAAUAUUAGACAAUGGGGGAAACCCUGAUCCAGCCAUGCCGCGUGUGUGAAGAAGGCCUUAUGGUUGUAAAGCACUUUAAGCGAGGAGGAGGCUACUGAGACUAAUACUCUUGGAUAGUGGACGUUACUCGCAGAAUAAGCACCGGCUAACUCUGUGCCAGCCGCCGCAGUAA
rnacentral:rRNA from 1 species